ACCGCCAGACCCAUAAACACACCUUCUGGCGACCGGUCGUUUGGCCGUUCCAGCCACUGGCCUUUUAUAAUACAGAUGGUACCGUUUCCCAUACGAACACUUGUAAACCGUUCGCCCCACCCUGUGUAGCAAGGAAACAGUAAGAAGACAUCACUUGUGAACAGCUGAGCCUUUAACCGAAUGGCAGCAGGAAUGAGAUGGAGGUGAGAAGCCGAGCCUGUUAUAGUCUAAACGCAGCCUCGACGUCAGCAAUGCACCUCCCCGGCCUUCAAGUCUGUUCCUUCCGUUUGACGGAGUCACCGGUUCAAGGAAGAGGCUGAACCCUACGAAUUCUAGGUCCCGGGGAGACUCACAUGUGCUGGCCCAAGGGGAAGAAGUGACAUCUGUGUCUGAAAGGCGCGUUACCGAACAGCCUGAGCAGGUGCGGCGCCCCGUACACCUGGGACAUGGGCGCGUCGGGGUGGUCGGCGAGGAUCUCGGCGUACUGCGGCCGCUCGAACUUGUAGAGCAGCUGCGUGCCCAGCAUGACGUUGAAGUACUCCUUGAUCCCGGCCACCACCUCGUUCACCGCGUACUCCCUGGCAAACGAGCAGAGACCAGUCACACCCAGACAGCCCAUGGAAAGAACUGAGAGGCGGGGACUGAUUCAUCACCGUGCGGCCAGGGACGAAGGUCAAGGUUAAAUAAUGAGAUGAGGGUCAGGGCAAAAUAUGUGUAUUUACAAAUAAAAUGAGAUGAAAUCU